rnacentral:rRNA from 1 species
AACGAACGCUGGCGGCGUGCUUAACACAUGCAAGUCGAACGAGAAAGCGGGCUUCGGUCCGCUAGUAAAGUGGCAGACGGGUGAGUAACACGUGGGUAACCUGCCCGGAGGUGGGGACAACCCUCCGAAAGGAGGGCUAAUACCGCAUGAUAUCCCUGAGGCUUCGGCCUUGAGGAUCAAAGCUAGCCUCUACAUGUAAGCUAGCUCCACCGGAGGGGCCCGCGGCCCAUUAGCUAGUUGGGAGGU